GCCACCUACAGAUCCGGUUGGCACGCGUAUCAUUUGGUUCCCUUCAAGAAUUCAUUAGAAAUGGAAUAUUCCUCCCUGUCCUUCACAAAGUCCCAUCAUUUGGAUCGUUCUUAAUUAAUUUCCUUGAUGAUGACAUGUUGGAUAACAACCAACUGACUUUACAUCAAAAAGAGGAUAUAACCAGUUUGGAUAUGUCAAGGGGGGCAAGACUUAAGAUUUUUGCUCUUUUUUUAUGUGAAUAUGAUGAAGAUGCAACAAUAAAGCUAAAUCUGAAUCUGAAUCUGACAACGAUGAAGAACAACAACAACAAAAACAGGAACAAGCAUUGUUAUAUGAAUGGAAUCAAUGGCGAGGAACAUUCGCUGGGCAAGUGGAAGAUUAAUUGAGCCUGACCUGGCUGGUGAACUGCUGUCUCUAGUUUUUCUUCAGGAGUUGAGAACACAUGAUCAGCAGCAAGGGGCGAUACAAAUUACAAUAACAGUUACAUCCAAGAAGACACUGUUUCUAGCCUUCCAAGAAAUAUGCAACCUUCUUCAUUUUAAGGGUGCCAAUAAUUCUGGAGGCCACUGUAUUUUUGCUUUGAGAGAAUGCAUUUCUAAGUUGUAGCUAAACCAAAUAUGAAAGUGUGAAUAAGUCCCAGAAGUGAGUAAUUUGUGAAAGCAUAAUGGGCACCAUGUGAAGUCACCUCUGCUUAUUGAACCAGAAUGCAAAUCAUUUUCUUCUUUAACCACUCUAGAUGGAGAAUCAUAAUACAUGGUGGCAUUGAUGGAACAGCAGACAUGUAGUCUUCCUCCAGGCAGCUGGCAACAACUGCAGCAGCACAGUUCUGGCUAGUUUCACAGAUGCGAUUGAGAAACAUAGUGGCCUAUCAUGGGUGCACUGUGAUCUGAGGAGAGAGAAAAAUGCCGUCUGCCUCUUUAUGGAUGUGUUCUGGGGCUCAGCCAUGGGAAGGAGCACCCCCACAUAUAUGCCCAUUUCUCCUUUGACUGUUAUGCCAUUUGCUGCCGAGAUCUACACGUGUGUAUAUUUUGUUGGUCUGAGUAAAUUAAUCAAGCUUGAGCCAAUGACCUUUGUCUGGCUCAAGUUCUCCUCUUCUGAUUGGACACAGAUCCACACCAGCAAUUAUAUAAUGUAUAAUAUAAUUCUAUUUUUAGAACCUAAUUAAAACAUUGUCUUUACCAGCUAAAUGUUUUGAAGUGCACAUGCAAAGUGGAAAACAAAAAAUAAGAUUCAAACAUUAAAUCCCAUGUCUAUAAUCAAAUCUUAUUUUAUUCAUGAACGUGAGGAGAAGAAUAAAAAUAAGCAAUCCAAUAGGGCCUUUAAAUGCUGCCAAUGGUUAUGGUCCUUUGUUGACACACCACAGGCCAUAUACUCUUAAAAGAACAAAGAUAAUAUACACUUACACUCACUUUAUUAGGAACACUAUACUGAUACUGGGUAGGGCAUCUCUGCUCUUAAAACAGCUUCAAUUCUUCCUGGCAGGGAUUCCACAAGCUGUUGAAAACAUUCCUUUGACAUUCUGUUCCAUGUUGACAUGACUGUGUCAUGAUGGUGCAGUGGGUAGCACUGCCGCCUCACAGCAAGAAGGUCCCCGUCGGCCGGGGCCUCUCUGUGGGGAGUUUGCAUGUUCUCCCUGUGUCUGCGUGGGUUUCCGGGUACUCCUCCCACAGUCCAAAGACAUGCUGGUUAGGCUGAUUGGAGAGUCUAAAUUGCCCGUAGGUAUGAGUGUGUGAGUGAAUGGUGUGUGUGCCCUGCGAUGGACUGGCGACCUGUCCAGGGUGUAUUCCUGCCUUUCGCCCAAUGUAUGCUGGGAUAGGCUCCAGCCCCCCUGCGACCCUGUUCAGGAUAAGCGGGUUCAGAUAAUGGAUGGAUGGAUGGAUUAAGAGGCCGAUUGCCGGCAAUAUUAACCCAUUGAAUUGAAACCCAGCUGCAUCUGACAGAAGGUUGCGCUAAGCACCAUUAAAAAUGAAAACCACCAUUAGACACAUACAUUUUUUGUGUCUAAAGGCUUCCAGUUUUGCCGUGUUCACAAAGCAUUUUUUGCUGUGUUAACAGGUCAAAUUAUAACACGUGAAAAAUAAAUGUCUCAAGACGUCAAAUUACAACACAUCACAAUGACUGGGAUUAGACAUAUUUUGUAAGAUGCUUUGUAAGACGUUUUGGCACCUUUAGCGUUCUAUAAGCCUCUGCACGCAGACUCAUGCACCCACUGAAGUUCCACGACGGACACAAAAAAUUCUCAAAUGUAACACGUGACUGUUGUGGUGCCGUUAUCGGUUCCAUCAGAGUCCUAAUCUUAUUAUUGAUGGAACGCUCAGAGUUUAAAAGUAUAUCACAUUAAAAUUCCAGUUACGGACAAGUUUAGUCCACAACACAUUAAGGUUGAACUGAUAUAUUAAUCCACACUAUUCAUGUUGAUUUCCGGAAAUACAUUUAUUUGGUGGUAAUUUUAUGACACGGAUUACUUAUUGCAGUUAUGCUGCUACCCCUACUAAUUGGUGCCGUAUGUGAGUAUUAUUAAGACGGAUACAUUUUAAUUAUAAAUCCUCACAAUUUUACACAUUGUAGAGGUACAUCCCCUCCACAAGGCAUGCAUAGAUGCUGGAUUCAGUAUAGUUCUUCUCCUGCUCCCUCUAUGAAGAACUCCACCCCACAUGACGUCUAGCUUGUUUCAGCCAAUCCCGUAAUGGCGGGAGCAAUAAACUUUCCCGUAUAAGAGCAAGACAUGUUCUCGGGAUCGCUCUCUUUCUCUCUUUAUCCUCUUCUCUUCUUCCCACUUAUUUUCAACGCACCCUUUUUGGCUAUUUGCUUCAGCUCAUCUGCUCCGAGACUCGGACAGAGGCUGAAUGCUGCAUAGCACACUACCAGGCCUACGGACACACCCAGUUACUUUGCGGUAACUUAGUGGCCUGCAAAGCUCACCAACAGCAACAAACCUUUCCACCCGGAAAAAGGACCAGCGAACAUCCUUCCAGCAACCGAGUGGACUAGACGACAACGCGCGGCUAAGACGGGAACACCCCAGCCUGCACAUCUCUCCAGUACAUUCACAUUACCAUCGCCGCGUCUACAAGGACAGCACGUCUUUUGGAUCCAGCAAAGUGUAUGGACUCAGUAAGACAACAAACAUUCAGGCAUAGCCAGUGUUUAGUUUAGUCUGAACUGUUUUUGUGAAUCUGUGUUUCCAUAUUUGCCAUUUUAUCAUUGGAAAGUAAUUUGUUAGCUAUAUAUAUAUAUAUGUACGUGAAUUGAUUUGCCGUCUUUUGCGCAUAUAUAGAGUAAACUACGCAAGUAGUCUUCUCACAGCUAACAAUAACUAACACGCCCACUUUACUUUCCUUUGUUCAAGGGACACGCGCGCUUGAGCGCGCACACACACACCCUACUAAUUUCCCCUUCCCGUUAGCUUAU